UGUAUCGUCAUAAUUACUGUCCUUGAAAUAUCCAGGUCUGCUCUGUAUCAAGCAUCACACGUUGCACUUAGUGUUGUUAUCCAACAGAGAGGCAUUGGUACUGAGUAAUCGCUUGAUCCGCUUUGGACCUGAAACAGAUGAUGCAAAUUUGUGAUCGCAAUUUGGCCAUUUGAUUCAUACCCAAUCUCCAACCUCAAGCUGAGGUUUCCUUGCGUAUUUAACCUCAUUUACAGAUUCUUCAGGCCAGAGAUGUUAAGAUAUGGAUCAGUUUCCCAGUUUCAAAAACUACUGUACAGUCUAAGCAAGUUGAUGCACUUCAACAGAACUCACCAAUGUGAACUGUCCAAGAAGCUUGUUGUCAGCUGCCAUCUCCCGCUCCCCCUGGAACACUUUGAUCUCAACCUGGGUCUGUCCAUCAGCGGCCGUUGAAAAGACCUGCCAUUCAUAUGAACAGCCAACAUAUCAGGCACUAUGCAUUUAAACUGGGUGUUUGACCUUUUAAAGCCAGAGUUUUAAAAACGUAUUUGGCAUCAAGUUAUGAUGUUGGUAUAAUUAUCAAGAAUGGCUACUUCAAAAUAUACUUAUGAGUGAUUAAAGAGCCCUAUUAAAAUUGCUUAACUCAA